rnacentral:snRNA from 1 species
AUAUUUUUGAUGUACUGUAACUAGCAUAAUAAAAAAGUCUGUUCUUAUCAGCUUAAUAUCUGAUACGGGUUCUAUAUGGACCCACGAUAUUAAACCUAUUUUUGGAAGUUGGCGGAGUGCUUGAAGCCCGCUUUACCUCCGCCGCAGGUCGGCCCGGUAGUGCACUACCUCCGGGAUCGGUCCCCGCUCA